GGGAAUCUGCCUGGUAGUGGGGGAUAACGUUCGGAAACGAACGCUAAUACCGCAUACGUCCUACGGGAGAAAGCAGGGGACCUUCGGCCCUUGCGCUAUCAGAUGAGCCUAGGUCGGAUUAGCUAGUUGGUGAGGUAAUGGCUCACCAAGGCGACGAUCCGUAACUGGUCUGAGAGGAUGAUCAGUCACACUGGAACUGAGACACGGUCCAGACUCCUACGGGAGGCAGCAGUGGGGAAUAUUGGACAAUGGGCGAAAGCCUGAUCCAGCCAUGCCGCGUGUGUGAAGAAGGUCUUCGGAUUGUAAAGCACUUUAAGUUGGGAGGAAGGGCAUUAACCUAAUACGUUAGUGUUUUGACGUUACCGACAGAAUAAGCACCGGCUAACUCUGUGCCAGCAGCCGCGGUAAUACAGAGGGUGCAAGCGUUAAUCGGAAUUACUGGGCGUAAAGCGCGCGUAGGUGGUUUGUUAAGUUGGAUGUGAAAUCCCCGGGCUCAACCUGGGAACUGCAUUCAAAACUGACUGACUAGAGUAUGGUAGAGGGUGGUGGAAUUUCCUGUGUAGCGGUGAAAUGCGUAGAUAUAGGAAGGAACACCAGUGGCGAAGGCGACCACCUGGACUAAUACUGACACUGAGGUGCGAAAGUCGUGGGGAGCAAACAGGAUUAGAUACCCUGGUAGUCCACGCCGUAAACGAUGUCAACUAGCCGUUGGAAGCCUUGAGCUUUUAGUGGUCGCAAGCUCACGCACUCUAAGUUAUCCGCCUGCGG
rnacentral:rRNA from 1 species